AUGUUGUCUGUAGCUCUGCUGCUGCUGCUGCUGGCAGCUGGAUCCUGUGUUUCUGGUUGGACCAUAACUGAGUCUGGACCAGCGGCUGAAAGGCCUGGAGAGUCCCACAAACUGACCUGCACAUAUUCUGACAUCUCAACCGAUAGUGGUUUUGGCUGGAUCAGACAAGCACCAGGAAAAGGACUGGAAUGGAUUGCACACAUCACUGGGCCAAGUGGAAGCACUAAGUCCUACUCCCAGUCAGUCCAGGGUCGGUUCACCAUCUCCAGAGAUAACAGCAGACAGCAGGUGUAUCUCCAGAUGAGCAGUCUGAAGACUGAAGACUCUGCUGUUUAUUACUGUGCCAGAGACACACAGAAUAACUAUUAUUUUGACUACUGGGGAAAAGGCACGGUGGUCACGGUCUCAUCAGCCACACCAAAGGCCCCUACUGUGUUUCCUCUGGAGCAAUGUGGCCCCGAGACCGGAGACACCGUGACUCUCGGCUGCCUCGCCACCGACUUUACACCCGCCUCACUGGGCUUCAGAUGCACCAACGCCGAGGGAGUUGCCCUGCCUGAUGUACUUCAGUACCCCGCUGUUGAGAAAAACAGGGCUUACUUUGGAGUCAGUCGGGUCCGCGUGCAGCGAGACUACUGGGACGCCAGGAAAGUUGUCAACUGUGUUGUUGAGCAUUCAGCAGGACAAAAACAAUGCCGCCUUCAGAAGAAAGUCGAGUUUCAUCAGUUGCCAACUCUUAACGUGUUGAUCUCUCCUGAGAUGAAGAAUGAGAGAUCAGCUUCCUUCUCCUGCUUUGCCACUGAUUUUUCACCAAAUGCUCAUGAAAUCAAAUGGCUCAGAGACGAUGAGGAAAUCCGUGACAAAAUCUCUGAGAUCCAGACCUCCUUUGAGCCCAAACGUAAUGAGAAUGGGACUUUGUACAGUGUCGUAAACUAUCUCCAGGUUGAUAAAAGUGCUUGGACGGAAUCGGAAGCCAAGAUUACAUGUGUGUUUAAGCAAAAAGAAGAAAAUGUCAACAAAUCUGUGGACUAUAAUACCACACCGGGUUCCACCACAUGUAAUGACCCAUGUGUAUAUGUUGACAUUGAGAUCUUGCCCCUCAGUUUGGAAGACCUGUUUCUGAACAAAAAAGCUAAACUUGUGUGUGAAGUGCUGGAAAAACAAGGAUCCGUUGAGUCUGUUGAGUGGCAGGACAAAGAUGGGAAACCUUUAAACAAGGACAGUCAUAAGAGCAGCCGAGGACCCCACAACCUCUACAGAAUUGAAGUGGAUGUCCUGUUUGAGGAGUGGAGCGAGGGGAUGGAAUAUUAUUGUGUUGUUGAACACAACGACUUAAUUAAAGCUGUAAGGGAGCGUUUUCAAAGGGACAAAGGAGAAACGAUUAAGCGGCCAUCUGUUUUUCUGCUGAGUCCAGUAGAACAAACUAGUAAUGACGUGGUGAUCCUGACUUGCUAUGUGAAAGAUUUCUACCCCAAGGAGCUUGUAGUGUCUUGGCUUGUUGAUGAUGUGGCAGCAGAUCCAGCUACCUAUACAUUCAAUACCACAAAUCUUUUAGAAAACAGCGGAUUCUACUCUGUAUAUAGUGAGCUUACGUUGAGCUUGGACCUUUGGAAGAAAAAUGACAAGGUGUUCAGCUGCGUUGUCUACCACGAGUCUAUGAUGAAAACAACAGGAGUCAUUAUUAGGUCCUUUGUACAAAACACCAAUGAAAAACCCAACCUGGUUAACGUCAGCCUUAACAUCCCUCAAAUUUGCAAGGCCGAGUAGAUGUGAUGUUGUGUCCAUGUGUGUUUUGCUAUGUGUGUGUUUUGUUUGUUGCCUGUGAUAUGACAUGCUGUUUGUCUUUAAAUGCAGAACUAAAAUCAAAAUAAAAAAGAUUUACUUCA